rnacentral:lncRNA from 1 species
CCUGAUCAGAUCAGUCUCAGUGGAUAUCCAUAGAAAUCGAACAUGUGUGUGACUCUACAGGAAUCUCACCAGAUUAUCAUAGACCAUCGGAUCAUGGUGAAGAUCUACCCAUGCAAAGGUAAAGAUCUAAAUUUGAUUUUUAUUUUUCAACAUCUUAAUUUCAGUAUGUGAACUUUUCUGGCAUGUAUAGAUUAGAUCUAUAAUUUUUAUACAUAUUAGAUUUAAAAUAAUUUUAAAUCUAGGUC